UACGGAGGAUGCGAGCGUUAUCCGGAUUUAUUGGGUUUAAAGGGCGUGCAGCCGGGAGUGCAAGUCAGAUGUGAAAUCCCGCGGCUCAACCGCGGAACUGCAUUUGAAACUGUGCUUCUUGAGUGCUGGAGAGGCAGACGGAAUUCCUAGUGUAGCGGUGAAAUGCGUAGAUAUUAGGAGGAACACCAGUGGCGAAGGCGGUCUGCUGGACAGUAACUGACGGUGAGGCGCGAAAGCGUGGGGAGCAAACAGG
rnacentral:rRNA from 1 species